rnacentral:rRNA from 1 species
CAGCAGCCGCGGUAAUACGAGGGGGGCAAGCGUUGUUCGGAAUUAUUGGGCGUAAAGGGUGCGUAGGCGGUUCAGCAAGUCUCGUGUGAAAUCUUCGGGCUCAGCCCGAAGUCUGCACGGGAAACUACUGGGCUUGAGUAAUGGAGAGGUGAGUGGAAUUUCCGGUGUAGCGGUGAAAUGCGUAGAUAUCGGAAGGAACACCUGUGGCGAAAGCGGCUCACUGGACAUUUACUGACGCUGAUGCACGAAAGCUAGGGGAACAAACAGGAUUAGAUACCCGCGUAGUCCCUGUCUCUUAUAA